GUGCCCUCUGUGCCCAUGCUCCCUUUCUGCCUCGGAGCCUUGUGCAUGUGGGGUCCGAUGCUCUCAUGCCUGCGGGUUCCCAUACAUAUGUACGUAUGAAACUGGGUCGUUUUCUCCUGUGACUCGGUCUCCCGCCUGUGAUCAUUAGACCAGGCGGAAGAAGCUUGAGGGGAGAGAGCAGUUGUUCCCGGCCCCACAACUUGCAGUGCUGCCUGUUUGCUCGCUGUGCUUUGAGGUGUGCCUGUGUUAGCACCAUCACCCCGGAGACUCCCACACACAAAACCAGACCUUAAGGAGCAGAGACAGUAGCUACAAAAUAAAAGUUUCUGCGUUCAGAGGCAGGCGCACCUCGGUCCUGUUCUGACAAUUCCAGGACCUGGAUCUGGCUGAAGCCUCCCUUGGCCUCCCUGGGCACCGCCCUGCACCAGCUUUUGGUGAGCCAGCCAGGAGGCCUGCACUUCCCUCUAUUUCCCAUUACUGUCGUGGUGUGGAGCUAAGUCCCCUGUCUGAGGGAAUGAACCUAGCGUGAGAACGUGGAGUCAUGGCUGCCACUCCGGUGAGUCUGCCCUCAGCAGGGUGCAGCCAGGAGCCAGGGCUGAUUACCUCAGCAACCUAAUGGACCCACCCUGUUUUGCUUCUGUGUCAAACAGCACACCUUCUUUUCCUAUUUUUCUCUCUUCUUUUGGGGACUGGAUAUGCUUAACUUUGUUCAGCAAUUAGCCUCCCGUGUAAAGAGCUCUUCGGGAUGUUGCAUAUAUAGAAUUCCUUGAAUUGGAGCCAAGACUUGCUUUGUUUCCACUGCUCAUUCACAGCCUUUGCAAAGUUCAUUGAGAAUCUCAACAAGUCUUCCUGCUGGGUAAUUAGAAAUGUAAAUGAGGCUAGGGGUAAUUGAAG